CCUACGGGAGGCAGCAGUGGGGAAUCUUGCGCAAUGGGCGAAAGCCUGACGCAGCCAUGCCGCGUGUAUGAUGAAGGUCUUAGGAUUGUAAAAUACUUUCACCGGGGACGAUAAUGACGGUACCCGGAGAAGAAGCCCCGGCUAACUUCGUGCCAGCAGCCGCGGUAAUACGAAGGGGGCUAGCGUUGCUCGGAAUUACUGGGCGUAAAGGGCGCGUAGGCGGACAGUUUAGUCAGAGGUGAAAGCCCAGGGCUCAACCUUGGAAUUGCCUUUGAUACUGACUGUCUUGAGUACGGGAGAGGUGAGUGGAACUCCGAGUGUAGAGGUGAAAUUCGUAGAUAUUCGGAAGAACACCAGUGGCGAAGGCGACUCACUGGCCCGUUACUGACGCUGAGGCGCGAAAGCGUGGGGAGCAAACAGGAUUAGAUACCCUGGUAGUCCACGCCGUAAACGAUGAGUGCUAGUUGUCGGCAUGCAUGCAUGUCGGUGACGCAGCUAACGCAUUAAGCACUCCGCCUGGGGAGUACGGUCGCAAGAUUAAAACCUUAAAGGAAUUGACGGU
rnacentral:rRNA from 1 species